rnacentral:rRNA from 1 species
GGGGCCCGGGGGGCCCUACGGGGUGCACCAGGCGCGAAACCUCUGCAAUAGGCGAAAGCCUGACAGGGUUACUGUGAGUGAUUUCCGUUAAGGGGAUCUUUUGGCACCUCUAAAAAUGGUGCAGAAUAAGGGGUGGGCAAGUCUGGUGUCAGCCGCCGCGGUAAUACCAGCACCCCGAGUGGUCGGGAUGAUUAUUGGGCCUAAAGCAUCCGUAGCCGGCUCUGCAAGUCUUCCGUUAAAUCCAGCCGCUCAACGGAUGGGCCGCGGAGGAUACUACAGGACUAGGAGGCGGGAGAGGCAAUCGGUAUUCAGUGGGUAGGGGUAAAAUCCUUUGAUCCAUUGAAGACCCCCAGUGGAGAAGGCGGCUUGCCAGAACGCGCUCGACGGUGAGGGAUGAAAGCUGGGGGAGCAAACCGGAUUAGAUACCCGGGUAGUCCCAGC